rnacentral:rRNA from 1 species
UGCGAAGGGGGGACGGAGAAGGCUAUGUUGGCCGGGCGACGGUUGUCCCGGUUUAAGCGUGUAGGCUGGUUUUCCAGGCAAAUCCGGAAAAUCAAGGCUGAGGCGUGAUGACGAGGCACUACGGUGCUGAAGCAACAAAUGCCCUGCUUCCAGGAAAAGCCUCUAAGCAUCAGGUAACAUCAAAUCGUACCCCAAACCGACACAGGUGGUCAGGUAGAGAAUACCAAGGCGCUUGAGAGAACUCGGGUGAAGGAACUAGGCAAAAUGGUGCCGUAACUUCGGGAGAAGGCACGCUGAUAUGUAGGUGAAGUCCCUCGCGGAUGGAGCUGAAAUCAGUCGAAGAUACCAGCUGGCUGCAACUGUUUAUUAAAAACACAGCACUGUGCAAACACGAAAGUGGACGUAUACGGUGUGACGCCUGCCCGGUGCCGGAAGGUUAAUUGAUGGGGUCAGCGCAAGCGAAGCUCUUGAUCGAAGCCCCGGUAAACGGCGGCCGUAACUAUAACGGUCCUAAGGUAGCGAAAUUCCUUGUCGGGUAAGUUCCGACCUGCACGAAUGGCGUAAUGAUGGCCAGGCUGUCUCCACCCGAGACUCAGUGAAAUUGAACUCGCUGUGAAGAUGCAGUGUACCCGCGGCAAGACGGAAAGACCCCGUGAACCUUUACUAUAGCUUGACACUGAACAUUGAGCCUUGAUGUGUAGGAUAGGUGGGAGGCUUUGAAGUGUGGACGCCAGUCUGCAUGGAGCCGACCUUGAAAUACCACCCUUUAAUGUUUGAUGUUCUAACGUGGACCCGUGAUCCGGGUUGCGGACAGUGUCUGGUGGGUAGUUUGACUGGGGCGGUCUCCUCCUAAAGAGUAACGGAGGAGCACGAAGGUUGGCUAAUCCUGGUCGGACAUCAGGAGGUUAGUGCAAUGGCAUAAGCCAGCUUGACUGCGAGCGUGACGGCGCGAGCAGGUGCGAAAGCAGGUCAUAGUGAUCCGGUGGUUCUGAAUGGAAGGGCCAUCGCUCAACGGAUAAAAGGUACUCCGGGGAUAACAGGCUGAUACCGCCCAAGAGUUCAUAUCGACGGCGGUGUUUGGCACCUCGAUGUCGGCUCAUCACAUCCUGGGGCUGAAGUAGGUCCCAAGGGUAUGGCUGUUCGCCAUUUAAAGUGGUACGCGAGCUGGGUUUAGAACGUCGUGAGACAGUUCGGUCCCUAUCUGCCGUGGGCGCUGGAGAACUGAGGGGGGCUGCUCCUAGUACGAGAGGACCGGAGUGGACGCAUCACUGGUGUUCGGGUUGUCAUGCCAAUGGCACUGCCCGGUAGCUAAAUGCGGAAGAGAUAAGUGCUGAAAGCAUCUAAGCACGAAACUUGCCCCGAGAUGAGUUCUCCCUGACCCUUUAAGGGUCCUGAAGGAACGUUGAAGACGACGACGUUGAUAGGCCGGGUGUGUAAGCGCAGCGAUGCGUUGAGCUAACCGGUACUAAUGAACCGUGAGGCUUAACCUUACAACGCCGAAGGUGUUU